UUGAAUAUUUAAAUAAAAAUUUAAAAAGACUAUUCUUUUUGGUUUUUUGUUAGUGGGAUUAUAUCACAAACCUAUCACUUCAGUUGUCUUUUGCUUUCCAUCUGCUGCCAUCUCUACCUUAGCUUUUUAUGGUUUCAUAUGCUACUUUGAAUAUUGACUCACUAGCUAAUUUUAGUUGUUAAUUUCCUUUUCCUGUGCUUAAGACAAAUACCGAAAUCAGCCAGACAACCCAAACCAUCCUAAAGGAAAAGCAUUCUGGGACAUAGUUGUGGAAACUAUUUUUCUAAAAUAAUGACAGAAGCAUGUAAAAGCAUGGAGUCUGAGAAGUGGUGUAAUUGCUUUACCCUUAGAGACAGUGGAAUGUGUCUUAGCGCAAUUAUAAACAUUGUCAAGGACCUUCCUAGUCAGGAGUGACACUUCUAAAAGGUAGUGGGUAUUAGUGUCAAAGCUGUAAGUAGACAUAGAAAAACUGAAUUAAAAUUAAGUACAAACUCUAUAUUUAAAAAAUAAUCUUAUGAUACAAAAUAGAACAAUAUUUGGUAUAAAAUUAAUCAUAUAAACCAUAUGCUUUAUUCAUAAGCAUAUGGAUUCUUAGUCUAGGGCUCACUAUUUAGUCAUCAUGAUCUUAGAUUUCCCUUAAUACAGUCUGUCUUGCAUCAUCUAAGCUGGCCAAGAUUUCUAGUUUACCCAGAGUAAAUGUUACACAUAGUUGAAAGGGCAUGAAUCUACAGUUCAAAGAGUAUCCAAGGACCAAGUUCUUUUCCGUCAUUGACAGUCUGGGUGAAGCAGAGCAGAUUGUAUAAGAUCCCAGAGCUUUCAUUGUUUCAUAGGAAAGAUGGAGAUAACAUUACUUCACAGGACAGUUGGGAGUGAAAACAAAGCCUUCAAGCAAUCCCAUAGCCAAAACUCUAAGUGAGGUGAAAUUCAUCUCAUGUCAGGAGCACUGUGGUCUCAAAAUGAUAUGGAAUAAAGGUGAAAGAAAACUUUCUCAGAUGAAGGAAAACUAAGAGAAUUCACAGCAAACCUGCUCUAAAAAUAUUGCUAACGCUCUUCAGAUGGAGGGAACUCAUACCAGAAGGAAACUUGGAUGCCAGGAAUGAAGAAAGAGCAACAGAAAAAGUAAAUACCUAGAUAAUAUCCUGGAAGUAAAGUAACUGGCUCGGUUGCAAACCUUACUAUCAGAUUGCCUUGCAGCAGGACCAUCACUUCACAUUUACAACAGGCAAGUCUCCAACAAGGUCCAUGUGCUUGUAAUUUAUGCAAUCCUCAUUUCCAGUUCUUUUUAUUUCUCUACUUUAUGCAACAUCUCAAGUCUUCACUAACCCUGUGUUGAUGCUGCUGGGAGAACCAACUCUGUCUCCUCCAAAACAGAGCCAGAAGUUUCCUCUUAGAAAAACUUCCACCGAUCAUAACCUCAAUUCUCUCCAAAGUCAUUUUCCACCUAAUUUCCAUGCAUGACUUUGGUCUCAGGAUAGGCAGCUAAGCCUAAAGUUUGAUAACUGGAUGUGUCUGAAUUCUUGACUUUAGACCACAUCCUGCCGAGCUCAUUGCCCCUCAAGGCUUCAGCUGACUUUGUAGUUUUAACUUAUAACCACCCGAGCCUCUUCUAGUGCAAAAACUCGUUCAAGGACUUGGUCUCCAGCUUGCUGCACUGUGGCAAAUGUUAGUCUGAAGGACUUAGAAGGUAUUUCUCAGGAUUUAAAGGCCCAAUAUCUUCCAACAAUCA